rnacentral:rRNA from 1 species
AAAAUGAGGAGGUAGUGAAGAGAAAUAACGAUGUUAGUCUUUUUAAGGCUGACAAUCGGAAUGGGAACACUGUAAAAAGGUUAUCGAUUAACAAUUGGAGGGCAAGUCUGGUGCCAGCAGCCGCGGUAAUUCCAGCUCCAAUAAGGAAAACUAAAGUUGCUGUGUUUAAAAAGCUCGUAGUUGAAUUUCGGGUAUUUGUUGCUAGCUGGUCUAACUGGCCAUGUUGGUUAACAGAUCCUCAUUUGCUGGACGGCUGGCGAUGAUCUUUAUCGAUUGUCGUCAGUUGCCAGAACGUUUACUUUGAGAAAAUUAGAGUGCUAAAAGCAGGCUCACGCCUAUAUAUAUUGCAUGGAAUAAUGAAAUAAGAUCUCGAUUUUAUUUCGUUGGUUUUUAGAAAUUGAGAUAAUGAUUAAUAGGAUCAGAGGGG